rnacentral:rRNA from 1 species
GACGAACGCUGGCGGCGUGCUUAACACAUGCAAGUCGAACGGAAAGGCCCUGCUUGCAGGGUACUCGAGUGGCGAACGGGUGAGUAACACGUGGGUGAUCUGCCCUGCACUUCGGGAUAAGCCUGGGAAACUGGGUCUAAUACCGGAUAUGACCUUCCAUGUAGUGUGGGGGGUGGAAAGAUUUAUCGGUGUGGGAUGAGCCCGCGGCCUAUCAGCUUGUUGGUGGGGUAAUGGCCUACCAAGGCGUCGACGGGUAGCCGGCCUGGGAGGGUGGACGGCCACAUUGGGACUGAGAUACGGCCCAGACUCCUACGGGAGGCAGCAGUGGGGAAUAUUGCACAAUGGGCGGAAGCCUGAUGCAGCGACGCCGCGUGGGGGAUGACGGCCUUCGGGUUGUAAACCUCUUUCGACAGGGACGAAGCUUCGGUGACGGUACCUGUAUAAGAAGCACCGGCUAACUACGUG